rnacentral:rRNA from 1 species
UUACCAGGGCUUGACAUACGUUGGAAGCGCAUCGAAAGGUGCGUGCCGCUUGCGGCCGGCGUACAGGUGCUGCAUGGCUGUCGUCAGCUCGUGCUGUGAAGUGUUCGGGUUAAGUCCCGCAACGAGCGCAACCCCUGCUGCCUGUUGCCACCACGAGAGGUGGGGACUCAGGCGGGACCGCCGGUGACAAACCGGAGGAAGGUGGGGACGACGUCAAGUCAUCAUGGCCCUUAUGUCCUGGGCUACACACGUGCUACAAUGGCCGGUACAGAGCGCAGCGAGGCCGCGAGGCGGAGCGAAUCGCUUAAAGCCGGUCCCAGUACGGAUUGGAGUCUGCAACCCGACUCCAUGAAGUUGGAAUCGCUAGUAAUCGCGCAAUCAGCAUGGCGCGGUGAAUACGUUCCCGGGCCUU